AAAGGACAUGCUUUCUCUUCCCGAUUCUGCCAACAAAAAGUCUAUCGUCCUAGAGAGUUAUUACAGUGAUUUGAGCAUGGCGGUGAUGGGAAGGCCACAAGCAAAACAGCAGAUCGAUCAUGUGAGUUUGAUCUUAUCCAAAUUCCCAAAAAAAAAAAAUUGUUCUUCAGGGAAAAAAUAUUGUUCCAUGCUGUAAUUGAUGUAUUCUCAUAAACGUUGAAGCAAUGUUUUUUUAGUUGCUAGGAAACUUGCUGUGACCAAAACCUUCAUUUUGUCAGGUCACCAGCUCUUGCUCCACCAGAGGUUCACAUCGACGUUGCCGAGCAGCAGAAGAACGAAGCUGAUCUCAUUGGCGCCGCAGCUCAGCCUCUCCCAGAUGAUGAUGAUGACGCUUUUGAGUAAACAAAAGAUAUUCCAAGAUGUAUUUCUGCCGUGAGAUGCCGUUUUGCUUUUGCUGAUUCUCUUCUUUGUUAUGAUGUUUUAGAACUAAUAUUGGGGGAGUAUUGAAAUUUUUCAAAAAAAAUGCCUUUAGUUGCUAGAGCUUCAAGAAAAUAGAAUCACGAUGCCAUUGAUGGUGCUAUUGUUGAAAUACUUGCUGACCCCAAAGAGGCAAGAGCUGGUAACUGGUAAUAGAUAGAUUCACUUCUUCCGAUUCAAUCCAGUAGACUUAUAUUGAUGGUAAUGGAGACUGGUACCAAGUAGGCAAGGAGAGCUCUAGAACAGAGCUGAUCUGUAGAAGAGAGACCACUUAGCAAUCGAAGUACGCUGUGCGUGGACUGAGUUCAUUAGCUGGUGGAAGACGGACUGUGCCUGAGAAAACAUAAAAAGAAAAGAAGAACCACUGAUGGUCCAUGGGAAUUUGUUGGUGGGUUGCCUUUGUUUGAUACUCCACGACAAGAUAGUGCAUACACCAUUAGUGCUUUUAAGACCCCGGUGUCAACAUCCAUCACUGUUGAUCAACUUGCUAUUGCCAAAGAGACUCAACCUAAGCUCGGUAUGGGAUCAAACAUGAUCUAUAGCAUCAGCUUCUCUACUUGGAUAAGAGAGGCAUCCGAGGGAGUUUAGGCAACCCAAGUGGGCUUUUUCUAAUCUCUUGCUUCCAAGAGGUUACGUCACCAGGACAGCAAGAUUGCGCAAGUUAUUAUCAGUCAGGUCCGUUGUUCGGACAGAUCCAUCUGGGUCACAGGUCAUGGAAGCAAUGCAGCGGAGUACCAGGAUUGUGGUAUGUCUACAGGGUUUAUAAUGAGCGAUUCGCCAUGGGAAUCUAAUAUUGAAGUUGGUUCUCCACAAGCAAGGAAUGAAGCUAAAUUGAGAUACAAAGAGAAGAAAAUCAAGCACACAUGAGUUUUAUUUUCUUUUCUUAUUAAAAAACGUUACAAAACAGAGUUUUACAAAAUUUUGAUUCAAGAUUAAUUGUUUGAGUUGUAGUUUUGGGAAACAAAUUCGAUAUGCAUCUCACAAGCGAGAGCUGACACGAGAAAAAUAGUGAAAGGAAGAUUCGUGAAAGCUGGUGACAAAAUAUGACUAUGACGCAUCAUCACCAACCCACAAAAUCAAUGAGUUUUCUCUUUCCCUAAAACAAUGUAUGUCUUAUUCUCAUGAUGAUGAUAUAUGAUUAAUCUUGUACUGUUGCGGCAUGAAAACAUUGGAGACCUGCACAAGGAAUGUUUAGACAUAGUGAAAGUGACGAAUUGGAUGAAAAACCAAUCUUUUUUUUUAAUUGAGCUCGUCAUUUUUUAUUUUCUUUUUAAUGUUUAUUGGCUUUUUGUAAUAGGAAAAAAAUCCUAAUUACUAUGUUUAUUAAUAACUUUUCUAGCUUUUUUGAUAAAUAAAGUAUCAGGAAUUACAAUCUUAGUUCAUUAUUUAUCUUUCUCGAUAAGAUAUUGUAUGAUUUCAAAUGUUCGUUUUAAAACACAAGUAAUGACUAAUUAAAAAUUAACUAAAAAAAUCUACCAAAUUUGGGAAAAUGAACAUUAGUUUCAAAUAACACAACAUCGAAUAAAUACCACAAAACAGACUAUUCCGCUACAAGCCUACAACAACAAAAAUCAUACAGAACACCGAAACACAUAUUCUGGUACAACAUCAAAAAUCAUACACAACACAAAACACAUAAAAUAAUCACACGUCAAUAGCCAACUUCAAACCUAUAAAAAUGCAAAUACUGACAAAUCAAAGACCAUAUCAAAACUCGGCAUCAUCUUCAAAUAUACAUUUAAAUAUUUAUACAUAGCUACAAUUACAUCACCAACCCCGCGCUUGCGCGGGGGUUAAACUCCUAGUUUUAAUUAAUGUGUAAGCUGAAUAUAUUCAUCUAGAUUAUGUUAAGAAUUCUAUAGUCUAAUUAUUAUGGUUUUCCUGUCAGUUAACAUAUAAAAUGUAUUUGAAAAACAGUAAAACAUGGUAUAAUUUUUCAUAUUUGUAACUGAAUUUGUUCCUACUGAUGACACUUUUAUAUUAUUUUUAUUACAAAUAAUUUGAAUUUUAAAGAAUGUAAAGAUAAAAAAAAUUGUUUGUUUUGCAUCUAAUUUUUUAAUAACUGAAAUACCAAUAUGUUUCACUCAUAUUUCCUCGAUUAUUUUAACUAUAUCCUAAUGAUAAAUAACAUCAAUUACUUAAUAAACCCAUAUUUCACAUAAAACGAUGAAUAAAAUUUAUCUGUACCACCAAGAAAUACAAUGUUUAUAUAUGUGUUCCUAAAUAAAAAAAUAUAGUCUUUGUACAACAAGUCAGAUACAAAGAAUAACCACAUAUUUGAAUAAUCAUCCAUGCCAACUACAUUAAGUUAAUAAAAACAAUUUAUAUUCAAGGUUAAAGUUAUGUUUCAAAUUUAUAUCACUUUUUGUGGUUACGUAUGAGAUUACAUUAAAAUGUAUGAGAUUACAUUAAAUGUAGAGUACACCAAAAUCAGUUACUUCAAAAAAGAAGAAGAACGAAGCAAUGCUUAAUUAGACCAGCAGUUGCCAUCCCAAAUGAUUGCAAUGCUUCGGAAAUAAUUGCAAUGCUUCGACUAUUAUUUAAGUGAUUAAUCAUUGACAUUCUCCUUUCACUCAAAACUCGUAACAACAAUAAACUACUGUGACACUGUUUUGAAUAUUUGAAUAAUUCACUCCACAACAAAACUAAUAUUGUUCAUAGACACUCGCAAUAACAUGGUUGCAACCAGUUUUUUCUCAAACCGAUUUAAAAUCCUAAAAGGGUCAGACAUGGCUAUCUUAGAGUUUUCAUAUUCUGAAAACAAAGAUCUGGAGAAAGAUAAUUGUAAGCACAAAAUAAUAUUCGCUUGAUUCGAAAAUGGGGGAAAAAUAGAAGAAGGGGGCACUUUUCUCUGAGACAAAAAAUGUAGCUUUUGAAUGAAAUUGUAAGCCUUUAGUAGUUGCUACAAAUUGUUUUUGAUAUAUUUUCAAAAAAUAUCCAUUUUAGUUAUGUGAAAGGAGAACUAAUAAAAGGUUCAAUAAAUAAUCGUCUUAUUUAUUACAAGGAUUUCAUCAAAGAAUGAUCUAUUUACCAUAUUAGUAACUUUGAUGUUGAUGAAAAAAAAGACUACUAAUGGUCACAGACUUUCUAUUCAACUCACUCAUCAUACAAUUGCACCAGAAGUAUUAGACGAUGUACCUCAAAUUGAGAAAACAAAAUUUAGAAUCCAUGGGUAUAAAAAGUUGCUAAUGUUAGCCAACACAAAUCAUAUUUUACCAGGUAUUUCUUUUUUUUUUAAAGUGUCAAAGUUUUGUUUUAGUUGUUAUCAUAUUAAUGGCAAUAACAAUGAAGCAGAUGUUGUUGAAAGAGUUACUUAUGUUUGGGGGUCAAAAGUACGAAAAAAUAACUCAAUACGUAAGAUUAUGGCCAGCUACGUUCUUCAAGAGUAUGUGUUCUAUCAUAUGCAUUUUAAAAUUAUUAUUUCUUUAACAAAAUAAUUUUAUCUUAUCUUCAGUUACACCAGAACAAAAAUUUGAGUAUCAAAUUGGGACAAUAUUGCUGCAGAUUUUUGGUCAUUUCUCUCCAAAACCCAAAGGAAGAAACGUAUUGUCGUCGUAACAUCAGUUAGACCAAAAUGAUUAACUAUUUUUUCCCAAAAAUUUGAGAACCUUACUAAAUGAUUUUUGUUUGAAUAGAAUCACUUUAUUUAAUUAGACACUUCACUUGCUACAAAAUUUUAUACAAACACCGAUUUAAAGAGGAUUCGUAAUUUCAGGUUAAUUUGUAAUAUAAUGAUAAUAAGUUUACUAAUGAUAAUACAUAAUGUUCGGACCUAUAGUCAAAUUUCUGACUGUUUAUAUGUAGGCAAAUAGUGAAUGAGAAUCAUAAUUCUCCUCUCAAAGAGCAUGAUUUAAAUGAGGAAUAAAAUCUUUUUCCCAAAUAUUGACAUUUAGAGACGUUGAAGUUCCUCAGGUAUUAGUACUCAAUAAUAAACACAAAACUAUAUAUGUGGUUUUCUAAUAAUUCAACUUAUAUUGCAAAGUUGUCAAAUUAUGAAAUGAUGUGUCUUUCUAUAAUUAUGUGUCUUUUUAACAUAUAACCAUUAAAAAGUUGUGAAUAUAUAUAUAUAUGUGUGUGUGUCUGUCU